UGCUAAGUAAGCUGGGUUUGAUCCAACAUAAAAAGCAGUACAUACAUAAAAUGUGGCACAAAUCAGCACAAACCAAAAUUGAAUAACAUGGGGUGAAAAGUGGGUGGGCUUUGAUAAAAAUGCUGCACAAAUCAGCCCACAUAUUUAAAAGGUAAACAAAAUUUCACUAUUCAUUUGUGCUGAUUUGUGCAGCAAAAAUGAAUGUUUGUGUUGC